rnacentral:rRNA from 1 species
UACGGGGGGGGCAAGCGUUGUUCGGAAUUACUGGGCGUAAAGGGCGCGUAGGCGGCCUAUUAAGUCGGACGUGAAAUCCCUCGGCUCAACCGGGGAACUGCGUCCGAUACUGGCAGGCUUGAAUCCGGGAGAGGGAUGUGGAAUUCCAGGUGUAGCGGUGAAAUGCGUAGAUAUCUGGAGGAACACCGGUGGCGAAGGCGGCAUCCUGGACCGGUAUUGACGCUGAGGCGCGAAAGCCAGGGGAGCAAACGGG